ACUGCCCAACUGCCACUGCCCAGCCUGAUGGCUCCACAUCUCAGGAGUAGGCUCUGAUUCCUUGGGGCCCCAGGAGCCUCUCAGGAGUCUACAUCCCAAGAUGUUCUAACUUCCAGAGUCUCCAAGCCCAUCAAGAGCAAGUUUUGCUAAAAGUGUUCUGAGAGCUUAUGAAGCACAUGGACAAGGAAGGGUUGUGCAUCCGGCUUUCCACCUUAAACUGGUUUCUAUGGUGCUUCAUCGAUGAGAUAAGGAUGCAUAGGAGACCCCAGGCCAGGAGUUCCUUCAGGACACACUGUCCUAGGCCUGGGCCCUGGAGGAGGACAUGGUGAUGAGGCACCCUGAGGCCUCCAUGGGGGAACUGAGAAGCAUGCACUGUGACCUGCACACCCAGCCAAACCUGAGCAAGCACCCCCACCACCCAGGCCUCUGCAGAUAUCCCCCAGCAUUGAGACCCUCCCCAAGGGGAUGGGCUGCUUCUCCCUGGCCCACAGCCCAGCUCCAGCAGCCCAUGGGUAUAGCCCUCCUGAAACAGGAGCCUCAUCCUCCCUCACCCUCACCUGGCUAUGCUGUACCCAAGGCCAAAGCCCAGAGGCAUAAGGGAGCUUCUGCAGAGCCCAGGACAGCAGGCUGCUCUCUGGGGGCCCUGGGGACUCAGAGUGUGGCCAGCCCAUCCCCAGCUCAGGAUAGACCACAGAGUGCUUGGUGAUUCCUGCAUUGGAACUCCCUCUCUAAGCUCCCCAUGGACCUGGACCUCAGAGGCCUGUGGUUUUCACAGUAGAGCUUGGAGCAGAGAUGCUAGGCCCCUAUCACUUCCAUAUGUGUCCUGGACACCUCUAAGAUCAUAGGACUGGCCUAGCCCCCAAUACCAGACACUGCCCAGCCCCCUGAUAGCCCAGAGGUAGGGCCAGAGACAACUCUCCUGCAUGUGAUGCCUACAGCUGAUCACUCUUGGCAGACAGUGAACAUCACGGCCCAGAAGGAGCCAGGGCAGCACUUGGCAAGCUGCCCCAAAGCCCCAGAGAGCUCCUUAGACAUGGAAAGUCAAUACUGAUGGGGAAGCUGGACACUUGGAGGCCACUGGAGGGAGGGGUGAGCAUGGUGUCCCCACAGCCCAGGCCACCCAGCAGCAUGCCCUGCAUCCAUGGUCCCAACCUGUAGGGCAGAACCCCCCUCUCAACGCACAAUUCCUAGACCCAGAGGGCCCUAGCCCAGACUCAACCUGAGCCCUGAAAGGGAAGGGGCACCAGGGGUGCCUUGGGGCCUCCAGCAGCAGCCAAGAUACACAGGAGAUGGAGCCCCCUGUGGCCCUGGCCAGAACUAGUAUUUGGCUUAAGGCGGAGCAAGCCCCCUUGGAGCACUGCGUACAUACCCGGGGCCUAUGUGUGCCUGGCAAGGCCAAGCUGAUGAUGUUACCAAGCUCAAACUACCACUGGCCACCUUGGUGAGGGUGGGGCAGAAACACGUGGACCAGCCACCAACCUCAUCCAUUCAAGGAAGCAGAAAUGGUCAGGCUCCUGCAGGAUAAGUGGCCACCACCAGACCACCAAUGGGGCAGAGUUCUGAGGCCCAAGCAGAUGGCACUGGGGCCCUGCUUCCAGGGUCCACAAUCUGCUCCAGGACACAAGACUGAAGAAAACUAAGCAAAUGAGAGUCCAGGAGGCUGGAUCCCUCAUCUGCCAUUCUUGGCAGUUGCAUUUUGUGGUCAGAAAAAGUCAGGAAACUUGGCUCUACUCACUGCAGGAGGCUCCAAGGUGGGACCAGAGCUUCCAGCAUAGAUUCAACAAUGCCUAAGAAUGCCUCUUCUUGGGGAAAAGGACCCCUUCCUUGGCCUCAAAGCCCCCACUUAUUUUGAUUAAAGCACAAUAAAGUCUUUGUUGUUAAAAAAAAAAAAAAAAAAAAAAAAAAA
rnacentral:lncRNA from 1 species